rnacentral:rRNA from 1 species
GACGAACGCUGGCGGCGUGCUUAACACAUGCAAGUCGAACGGAAAGGCCCUGCUUUUGUGGGGUGCUCGAGUGGCGAACGGGUGAGUAACACGUGAGUAACCUGCCCUUGACUUUGGGAUAACUUCAGGAAACUGGGGCUAAUACCGUAUAGGAGCUCCUGCUGCAGGGUGGGGGUUGGAAAGUUUCGGCGGUUGGGGAUGGACGCGCGGCUUAUCAGCUUGUUGGUGGGGUAGUGGCUUACCAAGGCUUUGACGGGUAGCCGGCCUGAGAGGGUGACCGGCCACAUUGGGACUGAGAUGCGGCCCAGACUCCGACGGGAGGCAGCAGUGGGGAAUAUUGCACAAUGGGCGGAAGGCUGAUGCAGCAGCGCCGCGUGCGGGAUGACGGCCUUCGGGUUGUAAACCGCUUUCGCCUGUGACGAAGCGUGAGUGACGGUAAUGGGUAAAGAAGCACCGGCUAACUACGUG